rnacentral:rRNA from 1 species
GGCGUUAAGUUGCAGGGUAUAGACCCGAAACCCGGUGAUCUAGCCAUGGGCAGGUUGAAGGUUGGGUAACACUAACUGGAGGACCGAACCGACUAAUGUUGAAAAAUUAGCGGAUGACCUGUGGCUGGGGGUGAAAGGCCAAUCAAACCGGGAGAUAGCUGGUUCUCCCCGAAAGCUAUUUAGGUAGCGCCUCGUGAAUUCAUCUCCGGGGGUAGAGCACUGUUUCGGCUAGGGGGCCAUCCCGGCUUACCAACCCGAUGCAAACUGCGAAUACCGGAGAAUGUUAUCACGGGAGACACACGGCGGGUGCUAACGUCCGUCGUGAAGAGGGAAACAACCCAGACCGCCAGCUAAGGUCCCAAAGUCAUGGUUAAGUGGGAAACGAUGUGGGAAGGCCCAGACAGCCAGGAUGUUGGCUUAGAAGCAGCCAUCAUUUAAAGAAAGCGUAAUAGCUCACUGGUCGAGUCGGCCUGCGCGGAAGAUGUAACGGGGCUAAACCAUGCACCGAAGCUGCGGCAGCGACACUCAGGUGUUGUUGGGUAGGGGAGC